AUUGAACGCUGGCGGCAUGCCUUACACAUGCAAGUCGAACGGCAGCACGGGAGCAAUCCUGGUGGCGAGUGGCGAACGGGUGGGUAAUGUAUCGGAACGUGCCCAGUCGUGGGGGAUAACGUAGCGAAAGCUACGCUAAUACCGCAUACGAUCUAUGGAUGAAAGCGGGGGAUCGCAAGACCUCGCGCGAUUGGAGCGGCCGAUAUCAGAUUAGGUAGUUGGUGGGGUAAAGGCUCACCAAGCCGACGAUCUGUAGCUGGUCUGAGAGGACGACCAGCCACACUGGGACUGAGACACGGCCCAGACUCCUACGGGAGGCAGCAGUGGGGAAUUUUGGACAAUGGGCGCAAGCCUGAUCCAGCAAUGCCGCGUGCAGGAUGAAGGCCUUCGGGUUGUAAACUGCUCCUGUACGGAACGAAACGGCGAGCUCUAAUACAGUUUGCUAAUGACGGUACCGUAAGAAUAAGCACCGGCUAACUACGUGCCAGCCGCCGCGGUAA
rnacentral:rRNA from 1 species